rnacentral:rRNA from 1 species
GAGUUUGAUCCUGGCUCAGGAUGAACGCUGGCGGCGUGCUUAACACAUGCAAGUCGAGCGGAGCACAUCGUUGGAAUCCUUCGGGAGGAAGAAGGUGUGGCUUAGCGGCGGACGGGUGAGUAACGCGUGGACAACCUGCCCUAUGCAGGGGGAUAACAUCCGGAAACGGGUGCUAAUACCGCAUAAGCGCACAGUACCGCAUGGUACGGUGUGAAAAGCUGAGGCGGCAUAGGAUGGGUCCGCGUUGGAUUAGGCAGUUGGCGGGGUAACGGCCCACCAAACCGACGAUCCAUAGCCGGCCUGAGAGGGUGGACGGCCACAUUGGGACUGAGACACGGCCCAGACUCCUACGGGAGGCAGCAGUGGGGAAUAUUGCACAAUGGGGGGAACCCUGAUGCAGCGACGCCGCGUGGGUGAGGAAGUACUUCGGUAUGUAAAGCCCUAUCAGCAGGGAAGAAAAUGACGGUACCUGACUAAGAAGCCCCGGCU